rnacentral:rRNA from 1 species
CCCUUAGAUGUUCUGGGCCGCACGCGCGCUACACUGACGAAUGCAACGAGCUUAUAACCUUGGCCGAAAGGUCUGGGUAAUCUCCAAAUUUCGUCGUGAUGGGGAUAGAUUAUUGCAAUUAUUAAUCUUCAACGAGGAAUGCCUAGUAAGCGCAAGUCAUCGGCUUGCGUUGAUUACGUCCCUGCCCUUUGUACACACCGCCCGUCGCUCCUACCGAUUGAAUGGUCCGGUGAAAUCUCGGGACGGCGGCUUGGUCGCUUGCGUCCGACUGCUGAAACUUGAUUAAACCAUAUCAUUUAGAGGAAGGUGAAGUCGUAACA